CUUCACCGAGCCGAGCCACAGCGGGUCGCGGUCGUCGCGGCCCUGCCCGUAGGUGGCGAGGAGCGCCUGGGCCUC
rnacentral:antisense_RNA from 1 species